GCCAGCAUGGUGUAGUGGUUUGGGUAUUAGACUAGGACUCUGGAGAUCAGAGUUCAAGUCCCCAUUCAGCCA